AGUUAUUUAGCUUAAAUUAAAAGUUUAUAUUUUGAAAAUAUAUGAUAGAGAAAUUUAAUAACUU
rnacentral:tRNA from 1 species